CUUCUCCAGCCCAGAGAGAGGUGGCUGGACAGUUUCUGUAGAGGUAUUUUGGCUGUGAGGGAGGGACAAGUUACCAGUAAAAGAUGGUGUUGUUAACUGUAUCUCCCUGACCAAGCCUGCAGAGGCGGAGAAGAAAGGCGAGAAGCGAGGCAGGGCGGAGGUGCACGUCAGUGCAGUUCAGGGCAGAGGCAGCCGAGCGGAAAAAACGACUCACUCAGGAUACAAAAACAAGAAAGGGUUUGAGGCCGUGGAGAGAGAGAGAGAGAGAGAGAAAAAUCCCCUUCGUCUCUACGUUGACGCAAGCAUUACCACAGGAACAAAUGGACAGCGCUUGAAACAAGAUUACAGUCUUUGACCCUGGCAGCUGUUUGAAAUCCCCAAAUCAAUGGUAGGAAAGACUGAAAACCAAAAUGCUGAAGGUCACAGAGGAUCAGGCGGCAUCCAUGCAGAGAAAGCAACCUAGCAUUUUGAGUCUAAAUGACUCUUCAGACUUCAUCAGACAUACCAAGUACCAUUUAAGGCACCAACACGAAAGCCUUUGGAUCCACACAGAACUAGUUGUAGAGUCUCUUACCUGCCACAAGGAAGCUGGAUGGGAGGUGUGACUCGGAUUGGUGCCCACAGCCUGGCCCAGCAGGUGGAGAAAUGCCUUGAGGGAUCAUGGUGUGGAACUAUUUAACAGAUGAAGGAAUCGUCAAAGACCUAAUAAAUUGCAGCAAAAGCAAGAGAUGACACCAAAGGAACGCAAACAUGGAAGAUUACUUCAAUCUGUAAAUUGAAGAUGGGAUAUCACCAACAGGACAAAAUAAUUUAAAUAUUAAUUAUUUAAACUCUGCACUUAACAGCAUCAGAUAUAUUAGCCAGCUUGGCUACUUGGGGAAGUCUGAUAUCAACCCUUAAACCUGUUGCACAGUAAAUUCAUGCUCUACCACUAUUGGAAAAAUAAAGUUACACAUAUUACCCCCAUGUCACAGGCAAAAAGUACUUGUGGUUUUAAAAUAAUGCCCAGCAUAUUGUAAUUGUGAGAACGCUUCAUAAAACAUUACAUUUUAAAACAUGGUCAACACAUGCCAAAAUUCUGUUGACUUAUGACAACUUGUGUACCAAACUGUAAAAAUAGGGCCUCAAAUAUAUUUAGGAGAAAGCGAGGACUGCAGAUGCUGGAGAUCAGAGUGAGUAAGUGUGGUGCUGGAAACGCACAGCCA